rnacentral:rRNA from 1 species
AUUCCAGCUCCAAUAGCGUAUAUUAAUGUUGUUGCAGUUAAAAAGCUCGUAGUUGGAUUUCUGGUGGAAAGACUCCGCCCUCCCGCGAGUGUGCGGAGGCUCUCCACCAUCCUUCUGUUAACCCUUAUCGUUCUUUAUUGGGCGUUUGGGAGCCCAGAUAUUUUACCUUGAGAAAAUAGAGUGUUUCAGGCAGGCUCGCGCCCGGAUACAUUAGCAUGGAAUAAUGGAAUAGGACUUUUGCCUCUUCUGUUGGUCUGAGGGGUCGAAGUAAUGAUUAAUAGGGAUAGUUGGGGGCAUUAGUACUUUACUGUCAGAGGUGAAAUUCUUGGAUUUGUAGAAGACUAACUUAUGCGAAAGCAUUUGCCAAGGAUGUUCUCAUUA